GAUGAACGCUGGCGGCGUGCCUAAUACAUGCAAGUCGAGCGAAAAGAUAAUGAGCUUGCUCCUUUGACGUUUGCGGCGGACGUGUGUGUAACACGUGUAUAACGUACUUAUAUUUCUGGUAUAAUUCCGAGAAACCGGGUAAUAUGCCGGAUAAGAUUCAGCACCGCAUGGUUCUUAAGAGAAUGAUGGCUUUGCUAUAUCUACUAGAUGGUCACCGGCCGUAUUAGCUAGUUGGUAGGGUAAUGGGUUAUGAAGGGGACGAGACGUAGCCGACCGGAGGGGGUGGUCGGCCACAUGGGAAGUGGGACAGGGUCAAGACUCCUACGGGAGGCAGCAGUCGGGAACCGUCCGCAGUAGGCGGAAGCCUGACAGAGCGACGCCGCGUGAGUGACGAAGGUCUUCGGAUCGUAAAACUCUGUUAUGGGGUAAGAACAGAUGUGGAAGUAGCUGAGCACGUCGUGACGGUACCUAAUCAGAAAGCCCCGGCUAACUACGUG
rnacentral:rRNA from 1 species